rnacentral:rRNA from 2 species
UUAAGCGACUAAGCGUACACGGUGGAUGCCCUGGCAGUCAGAGGCGAUGAAGGACGUGCUAAUCUGCGAUAAGCGUCGGUGAGGUGAUAUGAACCGUUAUAACCGGCGAUUUCCGAAUGGGGAAACCCAGUGUGUUUCGACACACUAUCAUUAACUGAAUCCAUAGGUUAAUGAGGCGAACCGGGGGAACUGAAACAUCUAAGUACCCCGAGGAAAAGAAAUCAACCGAGAUUCCCCCAGUAGCGGCGAGCGAACGGGGAGGAGCCCAGAGCCUGAAUCAGUGUGUGUGUUAGUGGAAGCGUCUGGAAAGGCGCGCGAUACAGGGUGACAGCCCCGUACACAAAAAUGCACAUAUUGUGAGCUCGAUGAGUAGGGCGGGACACGUGGUAUCCUGUCUGAAUAUGGGGGGACCAUCCUCCAAGGCUAAAUACUCCUGACUGACCGAUAGUGAACCAGUACCGUGAGGGAAAGGCGAAAAGAACCCCGGCGAGGGGAGUGAAAAAGAACCUGAAACCGUGUACGUACAAGCAGUGGGAGCCUCUUAAUGGGGUGACUGCGUACCUUUUGUAUAAUGGGUCAGCGACUUAUAUUCUGUAGCAAGGUUAACCGAAUAGGGGAGCCGAAGGGAAACCGAGUCUUAACUGGGCGUUAAGUUGCAGGGUAUAGACCCGAAACCCGGUGAUCUAGCCAUGGGCAGGUUGAAGGUUGGGUAACACUAACUGGAGGACCGAACCGACUAAUGUUGAAAAAUUAGCGGAUGACUUGUGGCUGGGGGUGAAAGGCCAAUCAAACCGGGAGAUAGCUGGUUCUCCCCGAAAGCUAUUUAGGUAGCGCCUCGUGAAUUCAUCUCCGGGGGUAGAGCACUGUUUCGGCAAGGGGGUCAUCCCGACUUACCAACCCGAUGCAAACUGCGAAUACCGGAGAAUGUUAUCACGGGAGACACACGGCGGGUGCUAACGUCCGUCGUGAAGAGGGAAACAACCCAGACCGCCAGCUAAGGUCCCAAAGUCAUGGUUAAGUGGGAAACGAUGUGGGAAGGCCCAGACAGCCAGGAUGUUGGCUUAGAAGCAGCCAUCAUUUAAAGAAAGCGUAAUAGCUCACUGGUCGAGUCGGCCUGCGCGGAAGAUGUAACGGGGCUAAACCAUGCACCGAAGCUGCGGCAGCGACACUAUGUGUUGUUGGGUAGGGGAGCGUUCUGUAAGCCUGUGAAGGUGGCCUGUGAGGGUUGCUGGAGGUAUCAGAAGUGCGAAUGCUGACAUAAGUAACGAUAAAGCGGGUGAAAAGCCCGCUCGCCGGAAGACCAAGGGUUCCUGUCCAACGUUAAUCGGGGCAGGGUGAGUCGACCCCUAAGGCGAGGCCGAAAGGCGUAGUCGAUGGGAAACAGGUUAAUAUUCCUGUACUUGGUGUUACUGCGAAGGGGGGACGGAGAAGGCUAUGUUGGCCGGGCGACGGUUGUCCCGGUUUAAGCGUGUAGGCUGGUUUUCCAGGCAAAUCCGGAAAAUCAAGGCUGAGGCGUGAUGACGAGGCACUACGGUGCUGAAGCGACAAAUGCCCUGCUUCCAGGAAAAGCCUCUAAGCAUCAGGUAACAUCAAAUCGUACCCCAAACCGACACAGGUGGUCAGGUAGAGAAUACCAAGGCGCUUGAGAGAACUCGGGUGAAGGAACUAGGCAAAAUGGUGCCGUAACUUCGGGAGAAGGCACGCUGAUAUGUAGGUGAAGCGACUUGCUCGUGGAGCUGAAAUCAGUCGAAGAUACCAGCUGGCUGCAACUGUUUAUUAAAAACACAGCACUGUGCAAACACGAAAGUGGACGUAUACGGUGUGACGCCUGCCCGGUGCCGGAAGGUUAAUUGAUGGGGUUAGCGGUAACGCGAAGCUCUUGAUCGAAGCCCCGGUAAACGGCGGCCGUAACUAUAACGGUCCUAAGGUAGCGAAAUUCCUUGUCGGGUAAGUUCCGACCUGCACGAAUGGCGUAAUGAUGGCCAGGCUGUCUCCACCCGAGACUCAGUGAAAUUGAACUCGCUGUGAAGAUGCAGUGUACCCGCGGCAAGACGGAAAGACCCCGUGAACCUUUACUAUAGCUUGACACUGAACAUUGAGCCUUGAUGUGUAGGAUAGGUGGGAGGCUUUGAAGUGUGGACGCCAGUCUGCAUGGAGCCGACCUUGAAAUACCACCCUUUAAUGUUUGAUGUUCUAACGUUGGCCCGUAAUCCGGGUUGCGGACAGUGUCUGGUGGGUAGUUUGACUGGGGCGGUCUCCUCCUAAAGAGUAACGGAGGAGCACGAAGGUUGGCUAAUCCUGGUCGGACAUCAGGAGGUUAGUGCAAUGGCAUAAGCCAGCUUGACUGCGAGCGUGACGGCGCGAGCAGGUGCGAAAGCAGGUCAUAGUGAUCCGGUGGUUCUGAAUGGAAGGGCCAUCGCUCAACGGAUAAAAGGUACUCCGGGGAUAACAGGCUGAUACCGCCCAAGAGUUCAUAUCGACGGCGGUGUUUGGCACCUCGAUGUCGGCUCAUCACAUCCUGGGGCUGAAGUAGGUCCCAAGGGUAUGGCUGUUCGCCAUUUAAAGUGGUACGCGAGCUGGGUUUAGAACGUCGUGAGACAGUUCGGUCCCUAUCUGCCGUGGGCGCUGGAGAACUGAGGGGGGCUGCUCCUAGUACGAGAGGACCGGAGUGGACGCAUCACUGGUGUUCGGGUUGUCAUGCCAAUGGCACUGCCCGGUAGCUAAAUGCGGAAGAGAUAAGUGCUGAAAGCAUCUAAGCACGAAACUUGCCCCGAGAUGAGUUCUCCCUGACUCCUUGAGAGUCCUGAAGGAACGUUGAAGACGACGACGUUGAUAGGCCGGGUGUGUAAGCGCAGCGAUGCGUUGAGCUAACCGGUACUAAUGAACCGUGAGGCUUAACCUU